ACUCCUACGGGAGGCAGCAGUGGGGAAUAUUGCACAAUGGGGGAAACCCUGAUGCAGCCAUGCCGCGUGUGUGAAGAAGGCCUUCGGGUUGUAAAGCACUUUCAGUAGGGAGGAAGGUAGUGUAGUUAACACCUGCAUUAUUGACGUUACCUACAGAAGAAGCACCGGCUAAACUCCGUGCCAGCAGCCGCGGUAAUACGGAGGGUGCAAGCGUUAAUCGGAAUUACUGGGCGUAAAGCGUGCGCAGGCGGUCUGUUAAGCGAGAUGUGAAAGCCCCGGGCUCAACCUGGGAACUGCAUUUCGAACUGGCAGACUAGAGUCUUGUAGAGGGGGUAGAAUUCCAGGUGUAGCGGUGAAAUGCGUAGAGAUCUGGAGGAAUACCGGUGGCGAAGGCGGCCCCCUGGACAAAGACUGACGCUCAGGCACGAAAGCGUGGGGAGC
rnacentral:rRNA from 1 species